rnacentral:rRNA from 1 species
AUGUUGUUCGAAUGCAAAUUGGCAAUGGACGUGUGGAAGAUGCUCGGUCUUGAGCUUGUUAUCAAACAGGCACUGAAAGUUGACAAGGCAGGUGAGCUUGUGUUGGCACAUCUUUUGUGCCAUCCAGAACAACAAAUUCAAGUGUUGGGCUUGCCGAAGUUCAGAGAAACGAUGGCAACGACGGCUUGGUAUCUGUGGUAUGAAAGGCGAAAAUUGACACAUGACGAAGAAACUCAAAGUGCAUAUCAAAUCAAUAUGUCAGUGAGAGGCUUAGUAGCAAAUUAUACCAUCUCUUAUAGCCCAAAGGCUCACGUCCGUUCAGAUGCUUGGUUGAAACCAAAGUAUGGUUACGUGAAAUUAAAUGUUGACGCGGGAUUUGAUAGUGACACACUCGCAGCAACAUUUGGAGCAGUUAUCCAGGACCAUGGGAGGAAAUUUAUAGCGGCUGCUAAUAAAAAGAUGGACCUUUGCUUUGACUUGUUCACAGCAGAAGCAAUUGCAGUGAGGUUUGGUUUGAAUCUUGCUAAUACCGUUGGAUGUAGUAAGAUUGAAGUGACUUCGGAUAGCGUGGAGGUGGUGAAUGCGUUGAGCCAAGGCUACUCUUCUUCAGUCGCUUCAUCCAUUAUAGACGACUAUUAUUUCAUGUCAUUAGGUUUUUUCCAUGUCAUUUAUGAUCAUUGUAAUAGGGAAUAUAAUCGAGUAGCUCAUGAACUAGCAAGGUUAGCUAGGUUUUCUUCUUCGAGUGUUUGGAUGGAUAACGCCUCUAAUGAGGUUAUCCCUUUACUUGUAAACGAUGCUACUUUACUUAUGAAUGAAUAA